rnacentral:sRNA from 1 species
UUUAUCAUAUGUUUGUCCUAAACAUAUGAAAAACAUGAUUUUCAAAUGUUUUUCAUAUGUUUUGAAAACAUAUGAUAAA